rnacentral:rRNA from 1 species
UACGUAGGGUGCGAGCGUUGUCCGGAAUUAUUGGGCGUAAAGGGCUCGUAGGCGGUCUGUUGCGUCGGGAGUGAAAACUCAGGGCUUAACCCUGAGCCUGCUUCCGAUACGGGCAGACUAGAGGUAUGCAGGGGAGAACGGAAUUCCUGGUGUAGCGGUGAAAUGCGCAGAUAUCAGGAGGAACACCGGUGGCGAAGGCGGUUCUCUGGGCAUUACCUGACGCUGAGGUGCGAAAGCGUGGGGAGCGAACAGG